UACGUAGGGGCCUAGCGUUGUCCGGAAUUAUUGGGCGUAAAGAGCUCGUAGGCGGUUCGGCAAGUCGGAUGUGAAAUCUCCACGCUUAACGUGGAGGGGCCAUUCGAAACUGCUGUGACUCGAGUCCGGUAGGGGAGUGUGGAAUUCCCGGUGUAGCGGUGAAAUGCGCAGAUAUCGGGAGGAACACCGGUGGCGAAGGCGGCAUCCUGGACCGACACUGACGCUGAGGAGCGAAAGCCAGGGGAGCAAACGGG
rnacentral:rRNA from 1 species